rnacentral:tRNA from 1 species
ACUUAGAUAGUUUAAUUAGAAUAAUAAUUUGUGGUGUUAUGGGUGAUUGUAAAUCUCUAGGUU